rnacentral:rRNA from 1 species
AACGAACGCUGGCGGCAGGCCUAACACAUGCAAGUCGAGCGCCCCGCAAGGGGAGCGGCGGACGGGUGAGUAACGCGUGGGAAUUUUCCUCAAGGUACGGAACAACUCAGGGAAACUUGGGCUAAUACCGUAUGAUGUCUAGCGACCAAAGAUUUAUCGCCUUGGGAUAAGCCCCGCGUCAGAUUAGGUAGUUGGUGGGGGUAACGGCCUACCAAGCCUGCGAUCUGUAGCUGGUCUGAGAGGACGAUCAGCCACACUGGGACUGAGACACGGCCCAGACUCCUACGGGAGGCAGCAGUGGGGAAUCUUGCGCAAUGGGCGAAAGCCUGACGCAGCCAUGCCGCGUGAAUGAUGAAGGUCUUAGGAUUGUAAAGUUCUUUCGCCCGUGACGAUGAUG